GACGAACGCUGGCGGCGUGCUUAACACAUGCAAGUCGAACGGAAAGGCCCUGCUUUUGUGGGGUGCUCGAGUGGCGAACGGGUGAGUAACACGUGAGUAACCUGCCCUUGACUUUGGGAUAACUUCAGGAAACUGGGGCUAAUACCGGAUAGGAGCUCCUGCUGCAUGGUGGGGGUUGGAAAGUUUCGGCGGUUGGGGAUGGACUCGCGGCUUAUCAGCUUGCUGGUGGGGUAGUUGCUUACCAAGGCUUUGACGGGUAGCCGGCCUGAGAGGGUUACCGGGCCCAAUGGGCCUGAGAUACGGCCCAGAAUGGUACGGGAGGCAACGGUGGGGAGUUUGGCACAAUGGGCGGAAGCCUGAUGCAGCAACGCUGCGUGCGGGAUGACGGCCUACGGGUUGUAAACCGCUUUCGCCUGUGCCGAAGAGUGAGUGACGGUAAUGAGUAAAGAAGCACCGGCUAACUACGUG
rnacentral:rRNA from 1 species